AUUGAACGCCGGCGGCAUGCCUUACACAUGCAAGUCGAACGGCAGCACGGGGCAACCUGGUGGCGAGUGGCGAACGGGUGAGUAAUGCAUCGGAACGUACCUUUCAGUGGGGGAUAACGUAGCGAAAGUUACGCUAAUACCGCAUAUUCUGUGAGCAGGAAAGCAGGGGAUCGCAAGACCUUGCGCUGAUUGAGCAGCCGAUGUGAGAGUAGCUAGUUGGUGAGGUAAAGGCUCACCAAGGCGACGAUCUGUAGCGGGUCUGAGAGGAUGAUCCGCCACACUGGAACUGAGACACGGUCCAGACUCCUACGGGAGGCAGCAGUGGGGAAUUUUGGACAAUGGGGGCAACCCUGAUCCAGCCAUGCCGCGUGAGUGAAGAAGGCCUUCGGGUUGUAAAGCUCUUUCGGCCGGGAAGAAAUCGCACGGGCUAAUACCCUGUGUGGAUGACGGUACCGGAAUAAGAAGCACCGGCUAACUACGUGCCAGCCGCCGCAGUAAGAC
rnacentral:rRNA from 1 species